rnacentral:rRNA from 1 species
GCGAGUGAAGCGGCAACAGCUCAAAUUUGAAAGCUGGCCCCAGGCCCGCGUUGUAAUUUGCAGAGGAUGCUUCUGGCAAGGUGCCUUCCGAGUUCCCUGGAACGGGACGCCACAGAGGGUGAGAGCCCCGUAUGGAUGGACACCGAGCCUGUGUGAAGCUCCUUCGACGAGUCGAGUAGUUUGGGAAUGCUGCUCAAAAUGGGAGGUAAAUCUCUUCUAAAGCUAAAUACCGGCCAGAGACCGAUAGCGCACAAGUAGAGUGAUCGAAAGAUGAAAAGCACCUUGAAAAGGGGGUUAAACAGUACGUGAAAUUGUUGAAAGGGAAGCGCUUGUGACCAGACUUGCGCCGGGCGGCUCAUCAGGGGUUCUCCCCUGUGCACUCCGCCCGGCACAGGCCAGCAUCGGUUCUCGUGGGGGGAUAAGAACGGUGGGAACGUGGCCCCCCUUCGGGGGGGUGUUAUAGCCCGCCGUACGAUACCCUCGUGGGGACCGAGGUUCGCGCUCCGCAAGGAUGCUGG